GCUUAGUCCAGCUGCAGUACCCACCCUUUAUUUGCAAGCUUUCCAGUCACGACAACCUUUGGAAGAUAUAUCUAAUCGGUCAAAUACUCCAAAUUCAAUGCAGCCGGCUCCAUCAACUUCAACUUCACAGACUGCUACUAGUGUAAUGGAGACAUGUGCAACUGUGAAAGAUAAUGCCCAAAGAAAAAUUGUUAACAAUUUCAAUUCUCAUCUUGCAGCUUUGGGAAAUAAA